AAGUUUGCCCACCCCUGCUGUAGCAUAACAGGGAAAUCAGCCGGUUUGGCAAGCUAGCUAAAUCUGGCGCACAGAUAGAACCAUGUUAAGUGUAACUGGUAAAUUAUCUGCAGCACAGAUAUCUGUUGCAUUUACCAUGCAGGGGAGGAGAGAGGGCGCCCUGGGGUAGUAACUGCUCCCUCUGUAACCAGAGAGCCAGCACUUCCCUUUUCACUACGCAGCUGACUAGAGACCCGAGUCAUAUGAUUUUCAGUCAGGAAACUCCCCAAUUGCUGCAGAGAUGGAGCUGCUGCUUAGACAACAUGUUAUCCUGCUGCUUUUCCUGCUGACUUUGGGUUCAGGUGCAGUUGUAAAGAAAUCAAAAGAACAGAAAGAAGCAUGGGGGUAUGUAACAGUCAGAAGCAAUGCACACAUGUUCUGGUGGCUCUACUAUGCAAACAACUCUGCCAAAAAUUUCACGGAAUUACCGCUCAUUA